UUACGGCCAUAUCACAGUGAAACCACGGUUCCCGUACGAUCACCGAAGUUAAGCAACGUCGAUCCUGACCAGUAGCUUGAUGGGUGACCACUUGAAACUACGAGGUGUUA